UACGGGGGGUGCAAGCGUUAUUCGGAAUUAUUGGGCGUAAAGGGCGCGUAGGCGGUCUAUUAAGUCAGGUGUGAAAGCCCAAGGCUCAACCUUGGAAGUGCAUUUGAAACUAGUAGUCUUGAGUAUGGGAGAGGGAAGUGGAAUUCCUGGUGUAGAGGUGAAAUUCGUAGAUAUCAGGAGGAACACCGGUGGCGAAGGCGACUUCCGGGACCAAUACUGACGCUGAGGCGCGAAGGCGUGGGGAGCAAACAGG
rnacentral:rRNA from 1 species